rnacentral:rRNA from 1 species
CACGUAGGGCGCAAGCGUUGUCCGGAAUUAUUGGGCGUAAAGAGCUCGUAGGCGGCUUGUCACGUCGGAUGGGAAAGCCCGAGGCUUAACCUCGGGUCUGCAUUCGAUACGGGCUAGCUAGAGUGUGGUAGGGGAGAUCGGAAUUCCUGGUGUAGCGGUGAAAUGCGCAGAUAUCAGGAGGAACACCGGUGGCGAAGGCGGAUCUCUGGGCCAUUACUGACGCUGAGGAGCGAAAGCGUGGGGAGCGAACAGG